GUCUGGGUGUGCGUUAACGGGUGAGGAACACGUGAGGAAUCUGCCUUCCACUCUGGGAUAACUCCGGGAAACCGGGGCUAAUACCGGAUACUUUCAACUGGCGGCAUCGCCGGUUGAAGAAAGUUUUUCGGUGGAAGAUGACCUCGCGGCCUAUCAGCUUGUUGGUGAGGUAAAGGCUCACCAAGGCGACGACGGGUAGCCGGCCUGAGAGGGCGACCGGCCACACUGGGACUGAGACACGGCCCAGACUCCUACGGGAGGCAGCAGUGGGGAAUAUUGGGCAAUGGAGGAAACUCUGACCCAGCGACGCCGCGUGAGGGAUGAAGGCCUCCGGGUUGUAAACCUCUUUCAGCAGGGAAUAAGCGAAAGUGAAGGUACCUGCAGAAGAAGCACCGGCUAACUAUGUGCCAGCAGCCGCGAUAAUACAUAGGGUGCAAGCGUUGUCCGGAAUUAUUGGGCGUAAAGAGCUCGUAGGUGGUCGAUCACGUCGGAUGUGAAAAUCUGAGGCUUAACCUCAGACCUGCAUUCGAUACGGGUUGACUAGAGUGUGGUAGGGGAGACUGGAAUUCCUGGUGUAGCGGUGGAAUGCGCAGAUAUCAGGAGGAACACCGAUGGCGAAGGCAGGUCUCUGGGCCAUUACUAACACUGAGGAGCGAAAGUGUGGGGAGCGAACAGGAUUAGAUACCCUGGUAGUCCACACCGUAAACGGUGGGCGCUAGUUGUGGGAACCUUCCACGGUUUCUGCGACGCAGCUAACGCAUUAAGCGCCCCGCCUGGGGAGUACGGUCGCAAGACUAAAACUCAAAGAAAUUGACGGGGCCCCGCACAAGCAGCGGAGCAUGCGGCUUAAUUCGACGCAACGCGAAGAACCUUACCAAGGCUUGACAUAUACAGGAAUACGGCAGAGAUGUCGUAGCCGCAAGGUCUGUAUACAGGUGGUGCAUAGUUGUCGUCAGCUCGUGUCGUGAGAUGUUGGGUUAAGUCCCGCAACGAGCGCAACCCUCGUCCUGUGUUACCAGCAUUUAGUUGGGGACUCACAGGAGACUGCCGGGGUCAACUCGGAGGAAGGUGGGGAUGACGUCAAAUCAUCAUGCCCCUUAUGUCUUGGGCUGCACGCAUGCUACAAUGGCUGGUACCAAGAGCUGCAAUACCGCAAGGUGGAGCGAAUCUCAGAAAGCCAGUCUCAGUUCGGAUUGGGGUCU
rnacentral:rRNA from 1 species